rnacentral:misc_RNA from 1 species
UCUCCGUUGGUGAACCAGCGGAGGGAUCAUUACCGAGUUUACAACUCCCAAACCCCUGUGAACAUACCAUUUGUUGCCUCGGCGGUGCCUGCUCCGGCAGCCCGCCAGAGGACCCAAACCCUUGAUUUUAUACAGUAUCUUCUGAGUAAAUGAUUAAAUAAAUCAAAACUUUCAACAACGGAUCUCUUGGUUCGG